rnacentral:rRNA from 1 species
AUUGAACGCUGGCGGCAGGCCUAACACAUGCAAGUCGAACGAGUUGCGGACGGGUGAGUAAUGUCUGGGAAACUGCCUGAUGGAUGGGGCUAACUACUGGAAACGGUAGCUAAUACCGCAUACCAUCGGAUGUGCCCACAUGGGAUUAGCGAGUUGGUGGGGUAACGGGUCCCCUAGGCGACGAUCCCUAGCUGGUCUGAGGGGAUGACAAUCCCAACUGGAACUGAGACACGGUCCAGACGCCUACGGGAGGCAGCAGUGGGGAAUGUUGCACAAUGGGCACAAGCCUGAUGCAGCCAUGGCGGGUGUAUGAAGAAGGCCUUCGGGUUGUAGAGUACUGUCAGCGGAGAGGCGUUACCCGCAGAAGAAGCACCGGCUAACUCCGUGCCAGCGGCCGCGAUAAUAC